GGUUCAUGAUGACACAGGACCUUGUCUGAGCAUCGUGAUUUCAAAAUCUGAGUUUGAAAAUGUCACUGAAAUC